rnacentral:rRNA from 1 species
UACGAAGGGUGCAAGCGUUACUCGGAAUUACUGGGCGUAAGGCGUGCGUAGGUGGUUUGUUAAGUCUGAUGUGAAAGCCCUGGGCUCAACCUGGGAAUUGCAUUGGAUACUGGCAGGCUAGAGUGCGGUAGAGGGUAGUGGAAUUCCCGGUGUAGCAGUGAAAUGCGUAGAGAUCGGGAGGAACAUCUGUGGCGAAGGCGACUACCUGGACCAGCACUGACACUGAGGCACGAAAGCGUGGGGAGCAAACAGG